AGGAAUUGACGGGGACCCGCACAAGUAGCGGAGCAUGUGGUUUAAUUCGAAGCAACGCGAAGAACCUUACCUAAGCUUGACAUCCCAAUGACAUCUCCUUAAUCGGAGAGUUCCCUUCGGGGACAUUGGUGACAGGUGGUGCAUGGUUGUCGUCAGCUCGUGUCGUGAGAUGUUGGGUUAAGUCCCGCAACGAGCGCAACCCUUGUCUUUAGUUGCCAUCAUUAAGUUGGGCACUCUAGAGAGACU
rnacentral:rRNA from 1 species